UUUAGAUCCGUGCUUCCGUUCCCGGCCCGCCUGUGGCAUUCCCCGUCCUUCCCGUAUUCCCUGGCUGUGGCAGCAUAUCGUAUUAUUCGACUCCACGCUCCUGGUUAGAUACGGCCGGGUAAUGACUUUGGUCGCCGCCGCCGCAAUUUCUUCCAGCAUCUGGCGAUUGCUUCUCUCUCUCUCUCUUGUCUUAAUACUCCCAGUGCCGCCGCUCUCUCUUCCAGCUCCGAUAGUCGACCGGCGCCGGCGCGAUAGUCUGACGCCGCCCCGCCGCUUUCGCUUCCACCUCCGGUAGGCGGACUUCCGGCUCUCCCCUCCGCGCUCCCUGGUGGUCCGCCGCUGCUCCGCCGUGUCGCCGACGCACCAUUUGCCGGAGAGCCGCACUCUCCCGUCGCGGUGACAAGGUCCCAGCAUGGAAAAAGAUGUUCAAAUGUCUAACACCACACGGCGGACAUCCCCCAGGUUAAUGGUAGGAGCAGCAAAAGGGACGGAUGCCGUGUCAACUUCGACUCCCAAUUCACGAAAACGCAAAAUCAGCGGCAACAAAAACUGCAGUCCGAAAAGUCAUUAUAUUUUGUUAUCUUCUCCUGUAUUCUGAAGAACUGAAGUGAUGGAGCACAUAUGCAAACCAAUGCAGUACAGAGCGGCGACGCACAGCCUUUCCUGGUUUCUGAUCACUGGUUUAUGCACAUUGGCUUUGUACAUGUUUUUUAACUUCCUCCUCCUUUUGGCCAAGGCCUUCCGGGCAUGCGCUCGCUCAAAGCUUCAGACAUCUGUAAAACACGACUCUCAGGCAUGCUGCCUUGUACUGCAUGUUCAUCUUAUAAAACCAAAAUGUCUCAA